rnacentral:rRNA from 1 species
GUGGGGAAUAUUGGACAAUGGGCGAAAGCCUGAUCCAGCCAUGCCGCGUGUGUGAAGAAGGUCUUCGGAUUGUAAAGCACUUUAAGUUGGGAGGAAGGGCAGUAAGUUAAUACCUUGCUGUUUUGACGUUACCAACAGAAUAAGCACCGGCUAACUUCGUGCCAGCAGCCGCGGUAAUACGAAGGGUGCAAGCGUUAAUCGGAAUUACUGGGCGUAAAGCGCGCGUAGGUGGUUCAGCAAGUUGAAGGUGAAAUCCCCGGGCUCAACCUGGGAACUGCCUCCAAAACUACUGAGCUAGAGUACGGUAGAGGGUAGUGGAAUUUCCUGUGUAGCGGUGAAAUGCGUAGAUAUAGGAAGGAACACCAGUGGCGAAGGCGACUACCUGGACUGAUACUGACACUGAGGUGCUAAAGCGUGGGGAGCAAACAGGAUUAGAAACCCUUGUAGUCC